GACGAACGCUGGCGGCGUGCUUAACACAUGCAAGUCGAACGGUAUGACAUGGAAGCUUGCUGAAGUGUCAUAUAGUAGCGGACGGGUGAGUAAUGCAUGAGAAGCUGCCAUUGGGAGGGGGACAACAGUUGGAAACGGCUGCUAAUACCCCGUAUGCCGGAAGGUGAAAGGGGGAAAUCCGCCUGAUGAGGUGCUCAUGUCCUAUCAGCUGGUUGGUGGGGUAACGGCCUACCAAGGCGACGACGGGUAGCCGGCCUGAGAGGGUGAACGGCCACACUGGAACUGAGAUACGGUCCAGACUCCUGCGGGAGGCAGCAGUGGGGAAUAUUGGGCAAUGGGGGCAACCCUGUCCCAGCGACGCCGCGUGAGGGAAGACGGCCUUCGGGUUGUAAACCUCUUUUGUACGGGAAGAAGGAAGUGACGGUACUGUACGAAUAAGUCCCGGCUAACUACGUGCCAGCCGCCGCGGUAA
rnacentral:rRNA from 1 species